rnacentral:misc_RNA from 1 species
CAGAGUUCAUGCCCUAACGGGUAGACCUCCCACCCUUUGUUAUACCUACCUUUGUUGCUUUGGCAGGCCGCCUUCGGGCUACCGGCUUCGGCUGGUGCGUGCCUGCCAGAGGACCCCAAACUCUGAAUUUUAAUCAUAUUGUCUGAGUACUAUAUAAUAGUUA